rnacentral:rRNA from 1 species
AUUGAACGCUGGCGGCAGGCCUAACACAUGCAAGUCGAACGGUAACAGGAAGAAGCUUGCUUCUUUGCUGACGAGUGGCGGACGGGUGAGUAAUGUCUGGGAAACUGCCUGAUGGAGGGGGAUAACUACUGGAAACGGUAGCUAAUACCGCAUAACGUCGCAAGACCAAAGAGGGGGACCUUCUGGCCUCUUGCCCUCGGAUGUGCCCAGAUGGGAUUAGCUAGUAGGUGGGGUAACGGCUCACCUAGGCGACGAUCCCUAGCUGGUCUGAGAGGAUGACCAGCCACACUGGAACUGAGACACGGUCCAGACUCCUACGGGAGGCAGCAGUGGGGAAUAUUGCACAAUGGGCGCAAGCCUGAUGCAGCCAUGCCGCGUGUAUGAAGAAGGCCUUCGGGUUGUAAAGUACUUUCAGCGGGGAGGAAGGGAGUAAAGUUAAUACCUUUGCUCAUUGACGUUACCCGAAGAAGAAGCACCGGCUAACUCCGUG